AACACCCCAUAAUUUGAUACCAAUUAAAUUAUUAUACGUUAAAUUUUAAUGGAGGCCUAUAAUUAAAAUGGAUUAAAUAAAUUUGGGCCUAAGGUAUUAAAAAGAAGAUAAAUUCUAUGGAAUAUGAAGCCCAAGUGAGGUGACAAAAGUACAUAUAUGGGCCUUGAAAACCCUAGCCUUUUCCUCUUAGGUCACACGUGUUUUUCUGAUGGGAUUUCUUUUUGCUUCAGCCGACAAUUGAAUUUCUGCCUUUCUCCACUGUGGCGUUGGUGGGAGUCUUCAGGUUCUAAUUCUACUGAAUUGUUGUGAUUCAAGGGAGGUUGAUUUCCUUUAUUUUUGCAACUAAGAGAUACAUUAGGUGGAUUAUUGGAGUAGAGAUUCUUGGGAGAUAGAAGUUACAAAUUAAUUUUUGUGGAACUGAGGAUUUUAUUAUUAUUUUAUGGCAUUAAACUUUGUAUUGGAGAAUUAUUUUGAGGAUGUUUUGUAUUUGGUGAAUUAGAGCUCUGACUUUUGUAAUCAG